GUCCAAGUACUUGGUAAGGAUCCUAUGCCUUCCCUAAGGCAAACCUAUUCUUAUGUACAAUAGGAAGAAAGUUGUAAAAGUGUCACAAUCUACUCUAUACCUAUAGACAAGGCUAGGUCAGUAACUACUUCUUCUCGAGAACAGUCACAUGCCUUUUAUAAUGGUCCAUCAGACAAAAAUAAUCUACACUAUGACUACUAUGGGAAAUCCAGGCAUACGAAAGAGCAUUGUUGGAAACUGCAUAACCACCCAACGAAAGGGCGUGGUGGUAAACGGAUGGGCUCAACAAGACCUCAAGCAA
rnacentral:misc_RNA from 1 species